rnacentral:rRNA from 1 species
GAUCAUGGCUCAGGAUGAACGCUAGCGGCAGGCCUAACACAUGCAAGUCGAGGGGUAGAAGGAGCUUGCUCCUUUGAGACCGGCGCACGGGUGCGUAACGCGUAUGCAAUCUACCUUAUACAGGGGAAUAGCCCAGAGAAAUUUGGAUUAAUGCCCCAUAGCAUUACGACUUGGCAUCAAGAUGUAAUUAAAGUUCCAACGGUAUAAGAUGAGCAUGCGUCCCAUUAGUUAGUUGGUAAGGUAACGGCUUACCAAGACGAUGAUGGGUAGGGGUCCUGAGAGGGAGAUCCCCCACACUGGUACUGAGACACGGACCAGACUCCUACGGGAGGCAGCAGUGAGGAAUAUUGGUCAAUGGUCGCAAGACUGAACCAGCCAUGCCGCGUGCAGGAAGACGGUCCUAUGGAUUGUAAACUGCUUUUAUACAGGAAGAAACCCUCCCACGUGUGGGAGCUUGACGGUACUGUAGGAAUAAGGAUCGGCUAACUCCGUG